rnacentral:rRNA from 1 species
UCCCGUAGCCUCCCGUAGCACGGGGGGCCUACGGGAGGCAGCAGUGAGGAAUAUUGGUCAAUGGACGCAAGUCUGAACCAGCCAUGCCGCGUGUAAGGAUGAAGGCCUUCUGGGUUGUAAACUUCUUUUAUCUGGGAAGAAAAGCAUUGUUUCUACGAUGUCCGACGGUACCAGAGG